rnacentral:rRNA from 1 species
UACGUAGGGUGCGAGCGUUAAUCGGAAUUACUGGGCGUAAAGCGUGCGCAGGCGGUUUUGUAAGCCGGAUGUGAAAUCCCCGGGCUCAACCUGGGAAUGGCAUUUGGGACUGCAAGGCUUGAGUGCGGCAGAGGAGACUGGAAUUCCUGGUGUAGCAGUGAAAUGCGUAGAUAUCAGGAGGAAUACCGAUGGCGAAGGCAGGUCUCUGGGCUGACACUGACGCUCAUGCACGAAAGCGUGGGGAGCAAACAGG